ACACGUGGAUAAUAUUUUUAAUUUAAAACUAUAAUUUACCAUUGUAUACAGUUUCCAAGAGAAUAUAUUGCAUUGCAACUCAAUUACAAUUACCCGGUGCUUCUUCCUCCCCUCUAAAAACUGUUACAAUUCAAUAUUAAUGCCUCACAGUUUCUCCUCCUAAAUCAAAUCAAAACAAAAAAGAAAGGACAGUUGUAGUACUACCAGCAAGACAACAAAUAUAAGUUCUUGAAUAACCAACAAAGAUGAUUUCCACCAUUGGAGAACAAGCAAAACAAACAGGAUAUAACCCCUUUCAGAUAUAGUCG
rnacentral:lncRNA from 1 species